GGGGAGAAAUGACAUUUGGUUGUAGGGUUUGGAGUUCCCUGGUGGCCUAACAGAUCCUUAAGUCUUUGGCAUUGUCACUGUUGUGAAGGCAGACAGUGAAAGACAAACAUCAUAUGACAUCACCUAUAUGUGGAAUCUAAAAAAGGAUACAAAUGAACAUACUUGCAGAAUAGAAACAGACUCACAUAUUUUGAAAACAAAGUUAUGGUUACCAAAGGGGCAGGCUGUGGGAGGGAUGGACUUGGUUGGGACUAGCUAUGCACACUGUGGUUUAUGGAAUAUUUGGCCAUUGGGGACCUGCUGUAUAGCACAGGGAACUCUACCCAAUAUUCUAUGAUAAUCUAUGUGGGAAAAGAAUCUGAAAGAGAAUGGAUGUGUGUACAUGUAUAACCAAAUCACUUUAUUGUACAGCAGAAAUUAUCACAACCUUGUAAAUCAACUAUACUUCAAUAAAAUGUUAAAAAAUGACAAAAAAAGAAUAAACUUUUUCCUCAUUUACUGUAGAAGUCAGUCUUGGGUGUUUGACAACAGUUCUUAGCAUGGGUCAUUUGGGAUUAUUUCUGGAGAGCUAGUGUACACAUCUCCUCUGAAAUUAAAUAUGCUUGUUGGUGGUCCUUUGCUUUCUACCCUGGAUCAGACAAGUCAAGUUUCUAUCUUAGAAUGUAAUAAAACGUCACCCACACACCAGGUCUGAAUAGAUACCCCUUUGCUUGGCACUGUGCACAUGGCUUUGAAAAUGUGAAUGUUUUAGUUGUCAAACUUUUCUGCUCUCCCUAUGGAUUCUGAGCUCAUUCGGAAUCUCUGUGUUCUUUUUAUAACACUACUGGCAAUAAAAUUGAGAGAAAAAUUGCAAUACAAGUAUUUUCAGAUUAGUCUGGGGGCAAAUGUGAUGAAACAAAUUGAGAAGCAGUAGUCAUUUCUCAUUUUUCCUUGGAAGAGGAAAGUGGGUCUCUACCCAGAGAUGGUGUUGAACUUGUACUGGAGAUUGAACUGCCUUCUGAGCCCUGGAGUCUGUUUCAGGUCACUGAGGUACUGGUUGACAUACUCACUUCUGCCUGUGGCCUAAGGGAGGGUGGUAUGAAGGUGGGAGGCCAAAUAGAGAAUGCUAGGGUCUUAGGAGAAACAGCUGCCGUGGCUGGCUUUUUAGUGCAGAUAAUAAAAUAGCUUGGAGUGUUUCACAUGAGAUAGAUAUGUUCUAAAGAAAAUACUGCCACUUGGGAUACUGCCAAGCUUUAUCUACCCCAAGUGUUUUUAUACUCACUUAAAAUUUUCUCUCUUCUCUCUUUCUUAUUUUUCUUAAAGAAAUAGAAAAGCCAGUCCAGACAGAAUAAAAAUUGACCUAAGUGCUCAUUAGAACAUGUGCUUACUCAGGCUCUCUUAAGAUUUCUUCUAUUUACCCAGAAACUACAAUAAAACCUUCCUUAUACCAUAGCCACAGGACAUGGAUAAACCUAGGGCUUGGGCUUUGGAAAGUGUUUGUAGGCAAAUGGAUGGAGGGACGACAUGAGUAGCCAUUGAUAGCAGUGUUUCUCUAUAGUUUACAGGUCUUUUUUUCUUUAAAAAAAUUUUUAUGUGAUAUCUGCUUUGCUUCAACUUGAGAACUUUUGUUUAUAUUUGUUUUCCCAUCUUAGAAAGUCUAUUCAAAGGUUACUUUUUAAAAAUGUACUUUACUGUUUCCCUUGGUGUGAGAAAGUGUUGUUUUAGGAAGACGUUUUCCCAGGUCAAUUAAUCAGUUCUUCCUCAGUGUAACUAAACCAGCCAGAGGCUCUAGAAUGGUUUUUAUAUUACAACUAGUCAGUCAGUUCAUGUCAAACUUCUACUGGGAACAGGGCACCAUGCUCUAUUUCAAGAUAUAACGUGACUAGCUCUUGAUGAGUGUGUACAAUUUCAUAGAAACCUGAUAAUCUGGAAGAUUGCAGAUUAGCCCUAUAAGUAAUCUGGAAAAUCCAGGCAGGAAUAUUGUGAUCUACCCUAAAUUCUUUAGCUAAUAAGGCAAUUUCCCUGUUUUGUUUUUUGUCUGGAUCUGGUACUCUAACAGUUGCAAUGACUACUCAUUUUAUUGGGAGUUGCUCUGGUUUGGUUUUUGUUGUUGCUGUUCUUGUCCUUGUAUUUAUUCAGUUCUAGCAUUCAUGGUUUACCAUCAGGCACAGCUCAUCAAGAAGCUAUGAAAAGAAACUUCUUGAUGAAUCAAAUUCUUUCUUUGUUGAGCAUUGUGCUUGCUCCACUUAUUUGUCCAUGGAAAUUCCUAGGACGAUGCAAGCUCAGCUCAUACCACCUUGAACCCCUGGGGGGGAAUGCAUGAAAAUAUACCUCAGGGCCUGUGCAAAAGAAGUUAUUUUUUUUUCAUAGAGUCACUUCUCAGAAAUUGUAAAUGAAACCAAAAUGAAUAAAUUGGAAUUACAGUAGAUUACAUGCUGAAGGCAUGAGAAUGAGGAGAAAAAGUUCUUGUUUUAUUUUUUGCCAUAUUUUGUCAGGAAUUGUGAUGAAAACACCAUUAAAAUCUAGACAAUAUCUUUUGACCAAAUAUAUAUAUGGUUUUGAGAAAAGAUAUAUAUACACACAUGUACAUAUAUGUAUGUUGUUUCCCUUUGGUAGCUUUUUUCUUUGUUGAAAUUCUUAUAUAUCUAAAGAAGUUUUCUCUCAGGAGGAUAGUUCUCCACCAGUGAUUUUUCAAAUCAUUAUUGUUAGUAUUAAACCCACAUUUCAGUGUACACUUCUUUUAUGGCCUGAUCUCAACUCCUAGAUCGGCUUAUUUCUUCUAACUUGAUAUGAGGAAGACCACAGUGAGACAUGGCUAUAAUUGAAGUAUAGCAGAUAUUGAAGGGAGUCAAAUGAUUUCUUCUCAUUUUCCAUUUAUUGCACAUCACAGGAUCGUUUUUCUUUAUAAACAAUAUCCCGUUGUGUACAUUAGUUCAAGUUUUGGUUACUUGUGCAUUUUUGAACUACUUUUUUUUAAAUCACUCAAUGAAUUUUAUUACAUUUAUAGUUGUACAAUGAUCAUCACAACCCGGUUUUAUAGCAUUUCCAUCCCAAACCCCCAGCGCUUGACUUUAACAAAAUCAUUGAAUAAAAUUUUCUUUUCAACCCUUGUGUUUACUUCUCUCCUAUUCUAGAGAAGAAAGCAGUUUAGUAAUGUAGGAGAUUUAAUGAACAUACUUGGUAAUUUAAGAAUGUAAAUGAAAUUGUUGCUAGAAUUGACAUCUCUGCACCACAACUCAUGGCUCUGUUUUAUUAAAGUAAACAUCCAAAAGAGAAGAGGAAUAGACAAUCAGACAUUCAGAUAUUUUGUCAACAUGCGUUUAAGUGUCCAGAUGUUUUAGAAACAUCUGGUGUUUGACAAUUUUGUUUGUUCCCACGGCUGUUUAGUGUUGCAUAGGCACAAAGAUGUCCCCUUCAUUUGAAGACCCUAAUAAUCUCUUAAAGCAAUGUAUUUCAUAUUACAUACCAGAACCCACAUUUUAAAUCAUGGCCCAUGAUUGUGGAAGACAGAAAUCUGGCUAAUAUGCUAGCCUGGCUGUGGCAUGACUAUGAGUAUCAGGUUUCUAAGAUAUUAGCUUACCACUCGUGCAUCCCAGCUUUUUCUGUAUCAAUGAUUUAUAUUGAGUAGAUGCAAGUAUACAUUUUUUUAAUGGAUACAUUUAACUACAUUGCUAUUUGGCUAAUAAAUUUUGAUUUUUCAUUUGCAGUUGUUUGUCUUUCUUACUAAUCUUUUUUUUUUUUUUAGUUCGUUUUUUUCCUUUAUCAACAUUGUUUUUCAUUUUUAUUCUUUGAACUUGCUGUUUAUGCUUGGCUACCUCUCCACUUGCUCAGGAUAACUUUGAAUUCUCAUCUCUUUUUAAAAUUUAGUCUAAAGUUUGAGUUAGCUAAAGAACUGAUAACAACUUUCUAAUCACUUUAUUCAGAGAACCAGAGAAAUUGUCUUGUUUCUAUUGACUGACUCUUCUUAAAUACUAAUUACUAAGUGGAUCCAAGACAAUAUUGUCAUCUGAUGAAUCCUUGAUAUAUUCUAACAGUCAGCUGUGUCUGUAUGAUACAGGAAACCAGUGGUUCUGUGACUGUGGUACUUCUCAGAGUAUGGAAUUCCCAUGGCAGCUGCACAGCCACCAAAAUUCAUUGAAAUAUGUUAGGAAUUACACAAAACUGGCCAUAUGGAAAAUACAUAAACUACCACUUUGUUUUCAGAUGAUCUGCUGUAGUCAAAAUUGAAUUUAAGUUUUUUCUUGUUCCUUUUAUAGAGUAUAACAUUUGGUCAGAUUUAGCUCUCUUAAAUGUUAUUGCAAAAUGAUCUAACAUGCUGCAGGUACUAACUGUACAUACUAACUGAACUCUUGGAUAGAUAUGUUGGUUGAAAUGAAUACAUGAUUGUGUUCCAUGAUUUUGUUGGAGUCCAGGUGAUGGAGACAUCUGGUAAUGAAAGAAGACAGGGAAGAAAAUAUUCUCCAAGUUUGAGAAUGUUAUUUUAGAUUUUCACCUGCUUUCAAGAUGAAAUGCACAAGAUGUAAAUGAAAAGAUGACUGGGAAAUCAAAAUAGUGUUCAGCUCUAGAGGACCAAUAGAGGUCAUUAAUGGUGCCUGGGCUGGGGUGAAAAAUGGGGGUGAGAGGAGACACAUUGGGAGAAAACAGUGCUUUUUGAGUAUGAAAUAUGGGGAGGAUAGUGACCUCAGAGGUGACACACUAUCAAUAAUCCUCGUAUGUGUGAUGGAGAAUUGCAUUAUUUACAUGUCAACCAUUUCUUCAAGUGCCUCCAUAAUAAUUUUGCAUAUUUAUUGUUUUAUCAAUAAAUAGUAUGUUUCAAUAUAUAUCCUUCAUAUAGGUAUUUUUUCCUUAUCUAGGAGUGAUUCAUUUCCAAAUGUGUUGUUAUCAGGAAUUCACAGAUUCACUGACAAGAGAGAAAUAUAGCAUAGGGUUUCAUCUAAAUGGAACCAAAUGGAUCCAUAUUUAGAGAUCUGUUUAUCCUGUUAGUCCAAUUUAUUCUUUCACUCUCUAGAUUUCUAUUGACUUCAUACUCUGUAAAACUUGUAAUGGAGAUGGAUUUAAAAAAUGUAAAAUGCAGAGCUUGCUUUCUGGAAUUUUAUAGAUUAUGUAAAAGUCACAUUCAUGAUGAUAAGAGGUGGUAUAUACUUAAAGCCAAAAUUAGCAUUAAAGAGAGCUAUAUCGACUCUUGUAGGCCUGGAGGGAUUGGAUAAUGAAGAAAUCCUCAGGACUAACCACCUCCAAACUCUUGGCUUACCUGCGGCCACAUUUUGGGACAAUUCUUUUUCUAAGGAGGAGAAAUUUAUGAAGCUUCAGUUAAUUCAUCUAGGUAGCUCAGAGUUACGUCAGUCUGGCUGCUCGUCAGGCUUUAUCCUGUGGCCCAGUUUUAGGGAUUGGGCCCCAGGGCUGUACUUGGAACAAAGCCAUGGUCAUAUACCCUGCUGUCAGUUAUGUAAUCUUGUACUCCUAUGCUUUUGUGCCUUUAAUAUUCAAUUAAGGGAUGUAUAAUAGAAUUGCCAAGACAAGAAAUGAAUUGUGGUAUAUAUUAGGUCAGCAUGUUUUGGUGGACUUUGCCAAAAACAUUUGGGAUAUUACACUUCUAUGAGAAGAAUUCAGGGAUUAGAAAUGGGUGGGUUAGAAGGCCUGGGGUCUUCGUUUGUGGUAUCGUUUAUUCCUGAAAUAUUAGAUCAUAGAGUUCAGUCAAAGAAGGCAGAAUUACACCAAUGGACUAGUAGAAGAAUGAAGGUUUUUUUUUUUAAUAUUCUAGAGGAUAAGAUGACGAUGAAAUAUGCAUUCUAUGGGAAGGGCAAAGUAAGAUAGACGGAAGGAUGUCCCUGUAGGGCAGAGAUUGGAAUGUAUUUUUCAUUGUGUCCUCAGCGUUUACAUAGCAUCUGGAACAUAGUAGAUGUAAAACAAAAUCUGCUGGGUGACUGAUGGAAAGAGAAUAUCAAAUUUGAGACUCUAAUUUCCAAUGAUGAUAUAAGAUAAUGGGUGGUGCCAAGGUUGAAGAAAUAUAACACCAGAGCAUCUCCUGGACAUGGAGGAAUUAAUUAUGAGCCAGAGUACUGUCUGGAGGCAAGCGUUUUCAUUACAAACAAGAGGAAAAAGAAAGCUUAGAAGAUAGUGAAAUAGAAGUAGGUUUGAAACCCAGUGGGAAGCAGAGAAUAAGCAGAUCUCUCAUUCCAGCCCCUUGAGGUGAUAAAGGUGGUAGGGUCCAGGGGAGGGACAAGUGACAAUCUUUGGUGAUUUUGGUUAAGCCACAUUUGCCAAGAGGAAGAAAUGGUCUUAGUAAAAAAUGUACAGGAAUUUGUUCAAAACAGAAUAGAAAUUCUAGAUAAACUGACACACAUAAGCAGUUUUGGAAAAGAGACCCUAGGAAGAAUGAGCAGAUAUGAAUAGGGUUGAGAAUAUAAGAGUAAAAGAAACAGUGAUAGUAAUAAUAGGAAUUAAGAUAAAUGGUUCAAGGGAGAUUGGAAACAUGAAUUUUAAAAUCUUAAACAUAUUUAUUUUGCUAUAAUUACUGGGUAUCCAAGUGGAAAUAUCCAGUGAACAGAUGAGCGUGUUUGAGUACAAUUAUUUAUGUCUUUUGUUUUGGUUACUUUGCAUUUGAUAUUUAAUAUUUUGCAAAGGAAAUUGGAACUAUUACAAAACAAGGAUAAUCAAUGCUGGAGAGAAUAUUAAGAUUGUUGAAGGUCAUAAAGCUAGCAUUUAGUGAGCCCUUAACUAUGUGUCAGGUGCAGUUUAGAGCGCUUUAAAAACAUCAAUUAGUGUAUUCUCCAAAAAGGCCCUAGAGGAUGAGUACCAGCAUUGUCCCAAAGCCAUGG
rnacentral:lncRNA from 1 species